AGUCGAGCGGAAACGAUGUAGCUUGCUACAGGCGUCGAGCGGCGGACGGGUGAGUAGCGCGUAGGAAUCUGCCUAGUAGUGGGGGACAACAUGUGGAAACGCAUGCUAAUACCGCAUACGCCCUACGGGGGAAAGGAGGGGAUCUUCGGACCUUUCGCUAUUAGAUGAGCCUGCGUAAGAUUAGCUAGUUGGUAGGGUAAAGGCCUACCAAGGCGACGAUCUUUAACUGGUCUGAGAGGAUGGCCAGUCACACUGGGACUGAGACACGGCCCAGACUCCUACGGGAGGCAGCAGUGGGGAAUAUUGGACAAUGGGCGCAAGCCUGAUCCAGCCAUGCCGCGUGUGUGAAGAAGGCCUUAGGGUUGUAAAGCACUUUCAGGGGUGAGGAAGGGUGUUUGGUUAAUAUCCAAACAUUUUGACGUUAGCCCCAGAAGAAGCACCGGCUAACUCUGUGCCAGCAGCCGCGGUAAUACAGAGGGUGCAAGCGUUAAUCGGAAUUACUGGGCGUAAAGCGCGCGUAGGUGGUUUGUUAAGUCGGAUGUGAAAUCCCAGGGCUCAACCUUGGAAUGGCACCCGAUACUGGCAGGCUAGAGUAUGGUAGAGGGGUGUGGAAUUCCCUGUGUAGCGGUGAAAUGCGUAGAUAUAGGAAGGAACAUCAGUGGCGAAGGCGACACCCUGGACUAAUACUGACACUGAGGUGCGAAAGCGUGGGGAGCAAACAGG
rnacentral:rRNA from 1 species